rnacentral:rRNA from 1 species
GCACUAUUGGAGCGGCCGAUAUCGGAUUAGCUAGUUGGUGGGGUAAAGGCCUACCAAGGCGUCGAUCCGUAGCUGGUUUGAGAGGACGACCAGCCACACUGGGACUGAGACACGGCCCAG